GACGAACGCUGGCGGCGUGCUUAACACAUGCAAGUCGAGCGGUAAGGCCCUUUCGGGGUACACGAGCGGCGAAUGGGUGAGUAACACGUGGGUGACCUGCCCUUAGCUCUGGGAUAAGCCUGGGAAACUGGGUCUAAUACCGGAUAUGACUCCAUGACGCAUGUUGUGGGGUGGAAAGCCUUGUGCGGCUAGGGAUGGGCCCGCGGCCUAUCAGCUUGGUUGGUGGGGUGAUGGCCUACCAAGGCGACGACGGGUAGCCGGCCUGAGAGGCGACCGGCCACACUGGGACUGAGACACGGCCCAGACUCCUACGGGAGGCAGCAGUGGGGAAUCUUGCGCAAUGGGCGAAAGCCUGACGCAGCGACGCCG
rnacentral:rRNA from 1 species